UUUCAGGAGUAAGAGGAUCUGGAUUAGGACUGGGAUUAAAAUCUGGAGUUGGACAGGGAGCAAAAUCAGGACUUGAAGGAUAUGGGUCAGGGCUGGGAAGAAAUUCAGGAGCAGGUGGACCUGGAUUGGGGCAAGGAACAAAAUCAGGUCCAGAAGGAUCUGGAACAGCGUCUGGAUCAGGACUAGAUUGCUGCCCGAUGUGUCUAAUACCAUUUUCUGAAGGGUUCACCCAAAUGGAAUGUGAUGGUCAUCUUGCACAAUGUUUAUCAGAGAUGCAUGACGAUAUUAUUUGGUGAUGAUAAUGAAAUUCUAUUAUUUUUGGAUACCUGUUUUCCUUAGUAGCUUUAUGUUGCAUGUGCUUGCAAAAUAUUACUUUAAUAUUUUGAUUGCUGUAACCAGAGGACCUGUUAAGUAUUUCUUAUAAAAUAUGAUAGAAAAACAAUAUGCAUUAUGCAAUAAAGACAGUGUUCUCUCA